rnacentral:rRNA from 4 species
AAAUUGAAGAGUUUGAUCAUGGCUCAGAUUGAACGCUGGCGGCAGGCCUAACACAUGCAAGUCGAACGGUAGCACAGAGAGCUUGCUCUCGGGUGACGAGUGGCGGACGGGUGAGUAAUGUCUGGGAAACUGCCUGAUGGAGGGGGAUAACUACUGGAAACGGUGGCUAAUACCGCAUAACGUCGCAAGACCAAAGAGGGGGACCUUCGGGCCUCUUGCCAUCAGAUGUGCCCAGAUGGGAUUAG